rnacentral:rRNA from 1 species
UACAGAGGUCCCGAGCGUUGUUCGGAUUCACUGGGCGUAAAGGGUGCGCAGGUGGCUUGACAAGUUUGAUGUGAAAUCUCCGGGCCCAACCCGGAAAAUGCAUUGAAUACUGUUGAGCUUGAGGUUUGGAGGGGGACUGGAAUUCUCGGUGUAGCAGUGAAAUGCGUAGAUAUCGAGAGGAACACCAGUGGCGAAGGCGAGUCCCUGGACAACACCUGCACUGAGGCACGAAAGCCGGGGAGCAAACAGG